GGAUGUGAGGGUGAUCUGCUGCAAUAUCGAUCACCCUACUGAACCUACCAGGGUCGGUUCAGCUGAUCUGCCUGGUUUGGCAGGUAUCCCCUUCCUCCCUCACUGCGCCAUGUGCGGCCCUCUAAUGUUGCACACUCGUCACAGAGGAGGACCAUCCCCAGUAGAAGAGAACCAUUCUUUGGUCAAGGGAAUACAAGUAACUGUGCUCCCCUGCUGCAACCUCCAAACAAGCUUUCA
rnacentral:lncRNA from 1 species